AACGAACGCUGGCGGCAUGCCUAACACAUGCAAGUCGAACGGCACCUUCGGGUCUACUGGCGCACGGGUGCGUAACGCGUGGGAAGCUGCCCUUAUGCUCGGAAUAACUCCCUGUAGGGGGUGAUAAUACCGGAUAAUUUCUUCGGACCCAAGAUUUAUCGCCCUUGGAAGGGCACGCGUUGUUUUAGCUAGUUGGUAGCGUAAAAGCCUACGAAGGCGUGGAUCCAUAGCUGGUUUGAGAGGAAGGUCAGCCACUCUGAGACGGGGAAACGGGCGGGAAUCCUGCGGGAGGGAGGAGUGGGGGAUAUAGGACAAUGGGGGGGAGGCUGAUGGAGUUAGGCCGGGUAAGUGAUGAAGGCGGGAGGGAAGUAAAGCACUUUUAUCCCGGAUGAUAAUGACGGUACCGGAAGAAUAAGCUCCGGCUAACUCCGUG
rnacentral:rRNA from 1 species